AUUGAACGCUGGCGGCAUGCUUUACACAUGCAAGUCGAACGGUAACAGGCCGCAAGGUGCUGACGAGUGGCGAACGGGUGAGUAAUGCAUCGGAACGUGCCCAGUCGUGGGGGAUAACGCAGCGAAAGCUGUGCUAAUACCGCAUACGAUCUAUGGAUGAAAGCGGGGGACCGUAAGGCCUCGCGCGAUUGGAGCGGCCGAUGUCAGAUUAGGUAGUUGGUGGGGUAAAGGCCCACCAAGCCAACGAUCUGUAGCUGGUCUGAGAGGACGACCAGCCACACUGGGACUGAGACACGGCCCAGACUCCUACGGGAGGCAGCAGUGGGGAAUUUUGGACAAUGGGCGCAAGCCUGAUCCAGCAAUGCCGCGUGCAGGAAGAAGGCCUUCGGGUUGUAAACUGCUUUUGUACGGAACGAAACGGUCUGGGUUAAUACCUCGGGCUAAUGACGGUACCGUAAGAAUAAGCACCGGCUAACUACGUGCCAGCCGCCGCCGUAAAAC
rnacentral:rRNA from 1 species